UCUUCAUAACAAUUGUAAAAGACAACCUAAAGAUCAAUCAGGAACUGGAAUCACAGCAAAAGGAAUUUUCUACAAAUACUUAUGAUUUUCGGAAGUUGAAGACCGGCAUCAGGAAAAUUACUGAUUUUGACUCAAAUCAGUUUUUGUUUUACAAACUGACUAAGAACCUAACCAAAUAGCUGAAAUUCACAAAAUUGAUCAUCUAUUUCAGCACUAUGCAGACAAUUACACAACUCGUAGUUAUCAAAUCAUGUCCAAAUUGAAGCAAACAAAGUUAGGGUAUUGAAAAUUGGUAUUACCUUCAGAUCCGAAAGAAGAUUUGAAGCUAUAUCGAAAUCAUUAUAGAUCAACGCCGCUUUGAAUCGCCCGAAGUUCUGAGUUAGCUAGUUCAACUUUGCCUCCAUUCUCGUCUAAUUUGCUUCCCUCUCUGGUUUUCCCUUUCGCUUUUCUCACUCUUCAAAUCACUCCUGGGUCUUUCAAUUUGGAGACGAACAAGAGGACAGAGUUUGUGGCCGACUAGAGAGAAGAGAAGAGGGAGAUUGGGGGGUCUCUUUGGGUACGAAUAUGGAGAAGAUGGUGGACUGCGGAAUUUCGAUAGAUCGAUCGAGGUUUAAGUUUGAGAGAGAAUGAAGGGGAUGUAGGUGUUUGAGAUCUAGGUUUUCAAGAGAAAAAGUGAUGAACAUGCAGGUGCGAUUUAGAUUAGGUUUCAGAGAAGAGAAGAGAAAAGGGAGUUUGGGAGGAGAUGGGGGAGGGAAAUCGAGUUUUGACUUGAUUUGGGUGUAAGCUGUGUAAAAUGUCGUUUUUGCCCUUUUUUGGUGGACCCGAUGCUGGCCACGUCAGCAAACAGACGACACCAUGACGAAAAUUGGCCUUAGGCCUUUCCUUGGUAGCAAAAACAAAGUUUAGGUACCACAUUGAUAGUUUUAAAGUCUGGGUACCGCUAUGACCGUG
rnacentral:lncRNA from 1 species